UACAGAGGGUGCGAGCGUUGUCCGGAAUCACUGGGCGUAAAGCGUGCGUAGACGGUUAUUUAAGUCGGGUGUGAAAGCCCCGGGCUCAACCUGGGAAUUGCAUUCGAGACUGAAUAGCUAGGGUACGGUAGAGGGAAGCGGAAUUUCCGGUGUAGCGGUGAAAUGCGUAGAUAUCGACUGGAAUGCCGAUGGUGAAGACGGGUCCACUGGGCUUGUCCUGACGUCAGGCACGAAAAGCGUGGGGGAGCAAACAGG
rnacentral:rRNA from 1 species